UACGUAGGGAGCAAGCGUUGUCCGGAAUCAUUGGGCGUAAAGCGCGCGUAGGUGGCUUCGUAAGUCCGCUGUGAAAGUCAAAGGCUCAACCUUUGAAAGCCGGUGGAUACUGUGAAGCUAGAGUACGGAAGAGGCGAGUGGAAUUCCUGGUGUAGCGGUGGAAUGCGCAGAUAUCAGGAGGAACACCAAUAGCGAAGGCAGCUCGCUGGGACGUUACUGACACUGGAGGCGCGAAAGCGUGGGGAGCGAACAGG
rnacentral:rRNA from 1 species